rnacentral:rRNA from 1 species
AACCAGCACCUCAAGUGCUCAGGAUGAUUAUUGAUCCUAAAGCAUCCGUAACCGGCUCUGUAAGUUUUCGAUUAAAUCAGUACGCUUAAAGUACAGGCUGCCGGUAAUACUGCAGAGCUAGGUAGUGGGAGAGGUAGACGGUACUCGGUAGGAAGGGGUAAAAUCCUUUGAUCUAUUGAUGACCACCUGAGGAGAAGGCGGCCUACCAGAACACGUACGACGGUGAGGGAUGAAAGCUGGGGGAGCAAACCGGAUUAGAUACCCGGGAAGUCCCAGCUGUAAACUAUGCAAACUCAGUGAUGCAUUGGCUUGUGGACAAUGCAGUGCUGCAGGGAAGCCGUUAAGUUUGCCGCCUGGGAAGUACGUACGCAAGUAUGAAACUUAAACGAAUUGGCGGGGGAGCCCCACAAGGGGUGAAGCCUGCGGUUCAAUUGGAGUCAACGCCAGAAAUCUUACCCGGAGAGACAGCAGAAUGAAGGUCAAGCUGAAGACUUUACCAGACAAGCUGAGAGGUGGUGCAUGGCCGUCGCCAGCUCGUGCCGUGAGAUGUCCUGUUAAGUCAGGUAACGAGCGAGAUCCCUGCCUCUAGUUGCCACCACUACUCUCAGGAGUAGUGGGGCGAAUUAGCGGGACCCCCGCAGUUAAUGCGGAGGAAGGAAGGGGCCACGGCAGGUCAGUAUGCUCCGAAACUCUGGGGCCCCACGCGGGCUGCAAUGGUAACGACAAUGGGUUUCGAAUUUGAAAGGAUGAGGUAAUCUUCAAACGUUAUCACAGUUAUGACUGAGGGCUGCAACUCGCCCUCACGAAUAUGGAAUCCCUAGUAACUGCGUGUCACUAUCGCGCGGUGAAUACGUCCCUGCUCCU